UCAACCGGGUCAGCCCCGAAUACCCCGUCUGAUCCUCCCCGAUCCACGGGGCUUUCCAGCAUCGAGGGGUACCUCGCGUCUCACACGCCUCAUGCGGGAGGGAGAAGAGACGCGGCCGCGGUCACAAGAGACGGCGAGAACCGCGCGCAGCCGCCGUCGUCGCUGCUAACGCCGUCGGACGCCUGCUUCCUCUUCUUCCUAGGGAAAGCUGGCCUUCUCCCCCGAGAAGUGAGUGCGGUCAUGUGGCUUCGGAGCGAAAUGGAUGAGUUGCCUACCUAGAAGAGGGAUGCGAUGGAACUGAAGUAUGCAUGUGCGUCGGCGUUGAAACUGAAACUAUGUUGGGAAGCAGAAACCGAAUUUAAGUGAUGUUUGUGUUGCACCCUAGGUGUUGUUGGUACAUUCUGAUGCAUGCCUGUGUAUGGCCUUUGAUGUUCUUAGUUUAUAUGCCAUUGUUCUUAAAGAUUAUGAUUUGUUGCUUUCAGUAGUACUUGAUGAUAUGGCCAUUGAUGCUUCAGCGUGUUCAGCAGUAAAGAUCAGAUUUUAAUCAGUG